UUCACCCUUUAUAGGUAACAGAGGGAUGUUGAGUGGAGGAGGGCACAUAUGACAUGGACUACCACGUUGAAUGGAUGCAUCGGACGAGUGCAAAUAAAACUCAAAUCUCUCCACUCAGCCACAGGAGAUAGAAACAGACGUAGAGGAUGAGAUGCCUCAUGGCUCAUUUAUUUAUUUAUUUAUUUUUCUUGGCAUAGUGUAACUCUGUGCACCUCAAAAAUACCCAGAGAUUGCUCCAGGUUGAUCAAAAAUAUUUCUAUUUCUGUGCAACAGGAAGCUAAAAUAACUCAUUUUGUGUGUGUGUGUGUGUGCCUUCAGGGUGCAUCUUGCUCGAAAACACAGAAAGGAGGAUGUCACCUUCCCCUUUAAGCUGGUUAGACUGGACUGUGAACACCAUGAACACUGAAAGCAAGACUCUUGCAGCAGUGGUCUGGCUGACGGAGGAAGCCUCAGAUAACCCUUGCCCAGCAGGAGCACGAAGAGCUGGUCCUUCUCAAAACAGAGCCACACAGCUGGGAAUCUUCCUUCAGCCCCCACUCCUUCAAUGUUCCGAUGAGUUCAGAAUGACUUCAUAGCACGAUCAAAGCACUGCUAAAUCUGGACUAAACCUUUUCCAGCCCACUGAGAAGAAAUGACGUUCUGCAGAUUUGAAAUACAGCAACUGAGGCAGCCUGGAUACAAAGGUUAGCCUAGACAGAUUAAUAUGAGCUUGUAUAAAUCUCUUAAUGCUAUUCCAAAUGCUAAUAGUGACUGACAUUACAGGGUUUCCUGGAACUGAUUUACACAGAUGAGAACUGUUUGCAAUAAAAAAAACCCACACUGUUUAUCUAAUAAGAAG
rnacentral:lncRNA from 1 species